rnacentral:rRNA from 1 species
AAAUUGAAGAGUUUGAUCAUGGCUCAGAUUGAACGCUGGCGGCAGGCCUAACACAUGCAAGUCGAGCGGAAACGAGUUAUCUGAACCUUCGGGGAACGAUAACGGCGUCGAGCGGCGGACGGGUGAGUAAUGCCUAGGAAAUUGCCCUGAUGUGGGGGAUAACCAUUGGAAACGAUGGCUAAUACCGCAUGAUGCCUACGGGCCAAAGAG